AUUUAUAUUUUCUUUUUAAUAAAAAUAUAAUUAUUUGAAAUUUAUUAAAUUUUUAUAAAUAAUAGUUGAAAUAAUUAUAGUAUUUAAAAUUAUAGGAAAAAAAAUUUGUUUAUCAUAAACACAUAUACAAUAUUAAAUGUAAUUUUAAUUAUUAUUAUUUUCAUUAUUUAUAAUUUACUUUUUAAAGGAUAAAUAUAAUAUAUUAAAAUAUAUUUAAAAAUAAAUUAUUUUAUUUAUCAAAACGAGUCAAACUGAGUUAAGUACCGACUGACUCAUAUGAGUUUGAAGCAUCAUCUAAUGUAUACUGAUCACCAUUAGUAAGUCUCCACGAGUUCAGAUUCAGGAGAGAUUUUUGUUGGAACUAGUUGUGCUGGGAACCACAGGGGUAUCUAAAAGCUCACCUCUCCUCAAGAAUUAGAUAUUCAGUUGUGCAGGGAACUCAAGUCCUUCCCAGAUGAAGGCUUCCCUGUUGCCCUGCAAGAACUCUCUGUUUACUGCUGUCCUCUACUGCGAGACCGUUGCUUAAAAGAUAAAUUAAUGAAGGCUCUGCAGCAACCCAGCAAUCAGAAUUCCGUGUGAGUUGGGACAAACAAGGAUUGUAGGAUCUGCAGCAUUCCAUCAAUCAGCCCUAAUGGAUGGUAUUCCUCACGCGCCUCCACUUCGGGCUUUUCCUCUCUAUAUAAGCCCCUUGGCAUCUCCGCUUACAAACCCCCACAAGAAGCUUUCAUAGAGAGAGAGAGAGAGAGAAGAGCCUUUUAGAGGUUCCGAAGAGGCAGCAGAGGUUUCUUCGGCUGCUGUGGAAAGGUUUCUUUCGACAAGAACAGAAAAGUUUCUGCAGCAGUUUGCUUCCUUGUUUGUUCCUCUAAAGUCUCUCAAUUUGAAUCGCAA